CAAACGGCUCUUUUUAGAGCCACCAAUAAUCCAAGAAAGAAUCAAU
rfam:Strongylocentrotus purpuratus Contig39397_fixed, whole genome shotgun sequence.